rnacentral:ribozyme from 1 species
CCAAAUAAAUUUCUAUGGGAAACAACCAAAUGGGUUUAUACGUGAGAACGAGAGUGAAAAAAAGGGUUGUAUUUAUCGUCAUUGUUUUAUUUUUCUUCUUCUUUUUUUUCUUUUGUUUC